GAUGAACGCUGGCGGCGUGCCUAAUACAUGCAAGUCGAGCGAAUGGAUUAAGAGCUUGCUCUUAUGAAGUUAGCGGCGGACGGGUGAGUAACACGUGGGUAACCUGCCCAUAAGACUGGGAUAACUCCGGGAAACCGGGGCUAAUACCGGAUAACAUUUUGAACCGCAUGGUUCGAAAUUGAAAGGCGGCUUCGGCUGUCACUUAUGGAUGGACCCGCGUCGCAUUAGCUAGUUGGUGAGGUAACGACACACCAAGGCAACGAUGCGUAGCCGACCUGAGAGGGUGAUCGGCCACAGUGGGACUGAGACACGGCCCAUACUCCUACGGGAGGUAGCAGUAGGGAAUCUUCCGCAAUGGACGAAAGUCUGACGGAGCAACGCCGCGUGAGUGAUGAAGGCUUUCGGGUAGUAAAACUCUGUUGUUAGGGAAGAACAAGUGCUAGUUGAAUAAGCUGGCACCUUGACGGUACCUAACCAGAAAGCCACGGCUAACUACGUGCCAGCAGCCGCCGUAA
rnacentral:rRNA from 1 species